AGAGUUUGAUUAUGGCUCAGGAUGAACGCUGGCGGCGUGCCUAACACAUGCAAGUCGAACGGACAAGGGGGCUUCGGCCUCAUUGUUAGUGGCGGACGGGUGAGUAACGCGUGGAGAACCUGCCCUGUACUGGGGGAUAACAGUGGGAAACCACUGCUAAUACCGCAUACGCUUCUGGGGCCGCAUGGCCUUGGGAGGAAAACUCCGGUGGUAUAGGAUGGCUCCGCGUUGGAUUAGCCAGUUGGCGGGGUAACGGCCCACCAAAGCGACGAUCCCAUAGCCGGCCUGAGAGGGUGGACGGCCACAUUGGGACUGAGACACGGCCCAGACUCCUACGGGAGGCAGCAGUGGGGGAUAUUGCACAAUGGGGGGAACCCUGAUGCAGCCGACGCCGCGUGAAGGAUUGAAGUAUUUCGGUAUGUAAACUUCUAUCAGCAGGGAAGAUGAUGACGGUACCUGCAUAAGAAGCCCCGGCUAACUACGUGCCAGCAGCCGC
rnacentral:rRNA from 1 species